AUAAACACUAGUGGAGCUAGGAUUUUUUUGAGGGAGUUGAACUUCUACGGGGGUUCGGGGGCGGUAGCCCCCGAGAUUUUUUUUUUGAGGCCUUCGAUACAUUUUAGACAUUUUUUUUUACUAAAAUACAAAUAUAAUAGUAAUAACUUUGCAUUUCAAAUGCAAAAUGUAUACUUUCAACUUUUUUGUUUAAUUAAGAAUUGAGAUAAUUGAUUGAUUAAAUGAUGGGCUUGAUCAAAAGAAUGAAAAAGAAAGAGACGGUGAGCUCUCUUUUUAGUUGGGUCAAUGGAAUUUAGGAUUUUAAAAACUGAAUUUCUCUUUUAUUUUGGAUUAAAACUUUUAAUUGGGGUUGCAAAAACUAAAUCUAAAAUAAUUUAUAUAUGAAU
rnacentral:lncRNA from 1 species